AAAGACUCAAUUCGUAGAUUUUCGUGUCUAAUAUUUGACCAUCCGUUUUAUAUGAAAUUUUUUAUGAUUAGUAUUUUUAUUACUGUUAGAUGAUAAAACAUGAAUAAUACUUUAUGCAUGACUUAUCUUUUUAAUUUUUUUCAUAAUUUUUUCAAAUAAAACGAACAGUCAAACGUUAGACACGGAAACUCAGGAAUUGAGUUUUU
rfam:Oryza sativa Japonica Group DNA, chromosome 2, cultivar: Nipponbare, complete sequence.